rnacentral:rRNA from 1 species
UUGUUGCAGUUAAAAAGCUCGUAGUUGGAUGUAUGACAAGACCGGGCGGUCUGUCGCAAGACAGCACUGAGCGUGUCGCGUCACGAUGCUGGGGAACUGCUCAAAAGGCAGGGAACCAGGGAUUACUUUGAAGAAAUUAGAGUGUUUAAAGCAGGCGAUUGCUUGAAUACAUUAGCAUGGAAUAAUGAGAUAGGACUGUGGUCUUAUUUUGUUGGUUUGAGGGCCGUAGUAAUGAUUAAUAGGGAUAGUUGGGGGCAUUUGUAUUCAGUAGUCAGAGGUGAAAUUCUUGGAUUUACUGAAGACAAACUAAUGCGAAAGCAUUUGCCAAGGAUGUUUUCAUUAAUCAAGAACGAAAGUUAGGGGAUCGAAGACGAUUAGAUACCGUCGUAGUCUUAACCAUAAACUAUGCCGACUAGGGAUCGGCAGAUGUCACUGAGACGCUGUCGGCACCUUUCGAGAAAUCAAAGUUUUUGGGUUCUGGGGGGAGUAUGGUCGCAAGGCUGAAACUUAAAGGAAUUGACGGAAGGGCACCACCAGGAGUGGAGCCUGCGGCUUAAUCUGACUCAACACGGGAAAACUCACCAGGUCCGGGACAUGGUAAGGAUUGACAGAUUG